GAUCUUGCCAGUAUAAUAUGCUUGUUUCAAAGAUUAAGCCAUGCAAGUGUUAGAACCUCAUCGCAUCUGGUUUACUGGGUGUUGAUUUGGGAAUCUGUGGAUUGCUCAUUAUAAGAGUUAUAUACUCAGCCACUGGUAGUUGUGACGUAAGAAGCAUACAUGGAUAAUGCAGCUAACUGCCGCAAUAAUACAUGAAUUAAAAAGGGAAUCGCCGAUUCUAAGUGGUAAUAAGCGUCGAAUCGCUUUUAUCAGAGCAAUAUUGCUGGCAGCGCAAGUUGUCAGUGAAUUGUGAUUGACCGACUUAAACAAAUAUGGGUUUGAUAAACGGCUUUUAAUAGGGUUGUUGAGUUGAAUUCAGAAAGUUGGCCCAGAGGAAGUGUUUCUUACCUAUCAGUUAGUAGUUUCAGUAAGGGUCAAACUUGACUUUUACGGGUACGGGGAAUUAGUGUUCAAAUCCGGAGAGGGAGCCUGAGAAAUAGCUACCACAUCUAAGGACGGCAGCAGGCGCGAAAAUUAUCCAAUGCUAAUUCAGCGAGAUAGUGACGAGAAAUAACGACCUUCAAACGAAGGGUACCAGUAAAAUGGUUUGGAAUGGCGGUAGAUCAAAAUUCUAUCAGAGUAACAAUUAGAGGAUUAGUCUGGUGCCAGCACCCGCGGUAAUUCCAGCUCUAAUAGUGUAUUUUAAAGUUGUUGCAGUUAAAACGCUCGUAGUCUAUCUAAAAGUUUACGCACCUUUUCGUUGCAGGAGUGAUAGUUAUCGUCAUUAGAAAUUUAGGUGAUGGUAACCGGAUCUUUUGUAGCUUCGGUAUCGGAGACUUUAAGUCAGUUCAACUGGCUUGGGUCCGAGAUAUGGAUUGGUGACGUAAAUUUGAUUAUCAACUGUGAUCAAAUCAGAGAGAUUCAAUCAGGCAAUGAUGUUUGCAAAAACUUGCCCGAAUGGUUCAGCAUAGCACUGAAAUCAAGUCCCUUUUGGGACGAAACGAAUGGAAGAUAGGGAAAGGGAACAAGUAUUGUCUCGCUAGAGGUGAAAUUCAGAGAACGUGCCAAGACUAGCAGACGCGAAAGCGGUGUCCCGUCACAUCUUCGUCGAUCAGGAACGAAAGUUGGGGGAGCGAAAAUCAUUAGAUACCGUUGUAGUCCCAACUGUAAACUAUAUUGACAAGGGAUUGGC
rnacentral:rRNA from 1 species